AUAUCUUUGACUCCUUCAGGAACAACUACAAGGAUUUACAUGAUUAUCACGAGGUGUUAAAUGAUAUCAUUUCUACUGUGUCUGUUGCUGUUCUUCCCAGAAGAGGAUGGAUGGUAAACAUAUCAUUUGAGCUACAAAGAGAAGGCCAUGGACUCAAGCAUGUGUCAAGUCAGUUUCUCAGAGAUCUUUCUUUAACUGAGCUGUUUGUGGUAAGAAAUAAGAUCAUCUCAACCGGCA
rnacentral:lncRNA from 1 species